CCGGGGCUCCCACCUCGCCGGUGCCGGGCCCGGGAGCGAUGACAUCGACGGGGAAGGACGGCGGCGGGGCGCAGCACGCGCAGUAUGUGGGGCCCUACCGGCUGGAGAAGACGCUGGGCAAGGGGCAGACAGGCCUUGUGAAGCUGGGGAUUCACUGUGUCACGUGCCAGAAGGUGGCUAUUAAAAUUGUCAACCGGGAGAAGCUCAGCGAGUCUGUGCUGAUGAAGGUGGAGCGGGAGAUCGCCAUCCUGAAGCUCAUCGAACACCCUCACGUUCUAAAGCUGCACGAUGUUUAUGAAAACAAAAAAUAUUUAUACCUGGUGCUAGAACACGUGUCUGGUGGGGAACUCUUCGACUACCUUGUCAAGAAGGGGAGGCUGACCCCCAAAGAGGCCCGGAAGUUCUUCCGGCAGAUCAUCUCUGCGCUAGACUUUUGCCACAGCCACUCUAUAUGCCACAGGGAUCUGAAGCCAGAGAACCUCCUACUAGAUGAGAAAAACAACAUCCGGAUCGCCGACUUCGGCAUGGCGUCGCUGCAGGUUGGCGACAGUCUGCUGGAGACCAGCUGCGGAUCGCCCCACUACGCCUGCCCCGAGGUGAUCCGGGGGGAGAAGUAUGACGGCCGCAAGGCAGACGUGUGGAGCUGCGGCGUGAUCCUGUUCGCCCUGCUGGUGGGGGCUCUGCCCUUCGACGACGACAACCUGCGGCAGCUGCUGGAGAAGGUGAAGCGGGGCGUGUUCCACAUGCCGCACUUCAUCCCGCCCGACUGCCAGAGCCUGCUGCGGGGCAUGAUCGAGGUGGACGCGGCCCGGCGCCUCACGCUAGAGCACAUUCAGAAACACAUAUGGUAUAUAGGGGGCAAGAACGAGCCAGAGCCAGAGCAGCCCAUCCCCCGCAAGGUGCAGAUCCGCUCGCUGCCCAGCCUGGAGGACAUCGACCCCGACGUGCUGGACAGCAUGCACUCUCUGGGCUGCUUCCGGGACCGCAACAAGCUGCUGCAGGACCUGCUGUCCGAGGAGGAAAACCAGGAGAAGAUGAUUUAUUUCCUUCUCCUGGACCGGAAAGAAAGGUACCCGAGCCAUGAGGACGAGGACCUGCCCCCCAGAAAUGAAAUAGACCCUCCCCGGAAGCGUGUGGACUCCCCAAUGCUGAACCGGCACGGCAAGCGGCGGCCUGAACGCAAGUCCAUGGAGGUGCUCAGCGUGACGGACGGCGGCUCCCCGGUGCCCGCGCGGCGGGCCAUCGAGAUGGCCCAGCAUGGCCAGAGUAAAGCAAUGUUCAGUAAAAGCCUGGAUAUCGCUGAAGCCCACCCCCAAUUCAGCAAAGAAGACAGGUCCAGGUCCAUCAGUGGCGCCUCCUCGGGCCUGUCCACCAGCCCGCUGAGCAGCCCCAGGGUGACCCCUCACCCCUCUCCAAGGGGUAGUCCCCUCCCCACCCCUAAGGGGACGCCCGUGCACACGCCCAAGGAGAGCCCGGCAGGCACGCCCAACCCCACGCCACCGUCCAGCCCCAGCGUCGGAGGGGUGCCCUGGAGGACGCGGCUCAACUCCAUCAAGAACAGUUUCCUGGGGUCACCCCGCUUCCACCGCCGGAAACUGCAGGUUCCAACACCCGAAGAGAUGUCCAACCUGACCCCGGAGUCCUCUCCAGAGCUUGCCAAGAAGUCAUGGUUUGGGAACUUCAUCAACCUGGAGAAGGAGGAGCAGAUCUUCGUGGUCAUCAAGGACAAGCCCCUGAGCUCUAUCAAAGCUGACAUUGUUCACGCCUUCCUGUCGAUCCCCAGCCUCAGCCACAGCGUCAUCUCCCAGACGAGCUUCCGGGCUGAGUAUAAGGCGACGGGCGGCCCGGCGGUGUUCCAGAAGCCGGUCAAGUUCCAGGUGGACAUCACCUACACCGAGGGCGGGGCGGCGCAGAAGGAGAACGGCAUCUACUCCGUCACAUUCACGCUGCUGUCCGGCCCUAGCCGCCGCUUCAAGAGGGUUGUGGAGACCAUUCAGACCCAGCUCCUGAGCACACACGACCAGCCCGCCGCCCAGCAUUUGUCAGAACCCCCCCCGCCAGCGCCAGGACUAAGCUGGGGUGCUGGGCUUAAGGGCCAGAAGGUGGCCACCAGCUACGAGAGUAGCCUCUGACGCUGGCAGACACCACUAACUGUAUGGAAAUGAUGACGGGGAGGCUUUCCAAAUGUGGCAGCCCAUUGAGUAACUUCUUUGACGUAAUUAAACAACUUUUUU